rnacentral:rRNA from 1 species
UACGUAGGGGGCAAGCGUUAUCCGGAAUCAUUGGGCGUAAAGCGCGUGUAGGCGGUUCCGUAAGUCCGCUCUGAAAGCCCAGGGCUCAACCCUGGGAGGCGGGUGGAUACUACGGAACUGGAGUACGGAAGAGGAGAUUGGAAUUCCUGGUGUAGCGGUGAAAUGCGCAGAUAUCAGGAGGAACACCAACAGCGAAGGCAGAUCUCUGGGACGUUACCUGACGCUGAGGAGCGAAAGUGUGGGGAGCGAACAGG